AGGAGCAUGUGGUUUAAUUCGAUGAUACGCGAGGAACCUUACCUGGGCUCAAAUGUAUGUUGACGUAUUCUGAAAGGGAUACUUCUUCGGACAAUAUACAAGGUGCUGCAUGGUUGUCGUCAGCUCGUGCCGUGAGGUGUCGGGUUAAGUCCCAUAACGAGCGCAACCCCUAUCAUUAGUUGCCAUCAGGUCAAGCUGGGGACUCUAAUGAAACUGCCUACGCAAGUAGUGAGGAAGGUGGGGAUGACGUCAAGUCCUCAUGGCCUUUAUGACCAGGGCUACACACGUACUACAAUGGCCGAUACAAAGGGCAGCGACACUGCGAGGUGAAGCCAAUCCCGUAAAAUCGGUCUCAGUCCGGAUUGGAGUCUGCAACUCGACUCCAUGAAGUUGGAAUCGCUAGUAAUCGUGGAUCAGCAUGCCAUGGUGAAUACGUUCCCGGGCCUU
rnacentral:rRNA from 1 species